rnacentral:rRNA from 1 species
AUACGGAGGGUGCAAGCGUUAUUCGGAAUCACUGGGCGUAAAGGGUGCGUAGGCGGUUUGAUAAGUCUGAUGUGAAAUCCUAUGGCUCAACCAUAGAACUGCAUUGGAAACUGUCAGACUAGAAUACUGAAGGGGCAGAUGGAAUUAGUGGUGUAGGGGUAAAAUCCGUAGAUAUCACUCGGAAUACCGAAAGCGAAAGCGAUCUGCUGGGAAGUUAUUGACGCUGAGGCACGAAAGCGUGGGGAGCAAACGGGAUUAGAAACCCUAGUAGUCC